rnacentral:lncRNA from 1 species
AAGCUGUUAUUUGGAAUCUCUUUUCCGCGCUAUUUACUUGUUGUGUUUUUCAUUUUUGUAAAAGAUUUUAGCUUCAUAUUAUAGUUAUGUUGCUUUCUUAACAAAGUUAAAUUGAGUCGAAACGCUGGAAGCAACAUACAGUUUUUCUCAACAUUUUGCGAAACAUUCUGCUAGCGGUGUUUGCUAAUGGCUUAUACUACCAAUACGACACUUGCAAUUACUCAGAUGUUUGUGAAAUUAGUUUAACUGUAGGCUACCGGGACAAAUAUGGGCUUAUACAGUUCAAAUCGAUCUCUCACCAGUACUUCCAGGGAUAGGCUGUAACAAACGAUAUAGUUCCGUAUAAAAGUGGACGAGUGCAUAACUCGGUUUAUCGCGUCUGGCCCGAUUGAUCUCCGAACGAAUGUCUAAGUAACCUUUCGCGGACAACAUGAGUGCCCGAAUUCUCAUCAUCGUUUCGAUCCUGGCCGGUUGCAUUGGAAGUAUGUUAAAUGCCAGCGUAAAUUAUUAUAAUAGUAAGCAUGCCAUAGCCGAGUCAACACGCGCCGUCUUCGAGAAACAAAUAGAACCUCUUACUUUUAUAAAAAUCGUUAACCUUGUCUACGAAAUUGCUGAGUGCAUAUACAAUCGUGUUGUAAAAUUUUUUGGAACAAAAGAAUAUGGCGGGUUGUAGGAGUAUGCAAAAAAAGAGGUCGACUAACCCGGACAUGAAGAUAUCACGUAGCUGUAAGAAGCUCUCCUAGAGCCGAUCUUACGUUUGCGACAAGGCCAGAAGCCGUAUGUGGCGCAGAAGGGAAACAACGGCAACAACACAAUGGUAGCCAUCAUCGCGACUCCGGCAAAUCACUGAACGUGGAUGUUUCUAUUCAACAUCUAUACACUAAAUAAACCGAGUUCUCAGCUCCACAGUCUAAAAUAAGAUGGUUCAUAGAUCAAUAAAAAAAUACUUAGUUAAUUAUGCUCUGUUGACUAUAGCUCAUGUGAUUAUCUAGAAUAAGACAGUACGGUCUUUUAUAUAUAUAUAUGAGAAUGUUCGUCGCUUGUUUUGCACUGUAGGUAAUUAAAGAUCAAUAGAAAUUCAUACAUGGUGACAUAAAAUUAUAGAAUCAAUAAUUCUUUUCGAAAUCUCACCCGUCGCUAUACAGCUUUCCAAAGGCAAAAUAGUUAGCCUAUAUUGUCUCCUACAAUAUGAUUCCCUGAAAAAUUUUCGCCAGAUCGACAUUCUUACUCAAGUUUCAUGACUGUUUUCAAAAGAUACGAAAAUCCUGAGGAUAUCCUUUAGGUUUUAGGGAGGUUAGACAACCUUAGUUAAAGCAGUAAAGGAAGACAAUGCUUACAUCUGUUAAUGUAGAUAAAAAUGGCUGUUUAUUAUAUCGUCAUCAUUUCUUUUUCUUACAUGACCUUUUACUAUCGUGGGGUUAGUAAAGUACGUACAAGAAGAUUUUUUUCUUCUCGACAGCUUUUUUCGUGGGAAGUAACAUAUUAGCAAGCUUCACUCUAAUAAUUGCCAUAAUUAUUAUUCCUUUAUAAUUGUAACCUGUAUUGACAUGUGACGCAAACGAUUCUUGAGGUGCCUAAUGGCUUGUAGCGGUAGAGUUUAUUCCAUGUUACUUUGGAAAAAACUUUUUCCUAUUUCUCAAACUAAUACACUAAACAGCUCGAAAUUAUGACGUCGCCCGUUCAUUCCAGUUAUAAAUAUUUUAGUGAAAGUUGCUCUGAAAACUCAGCAAAACAGUUCACUGGGUCAGAGCUGCGGUGGAUCGGAUACCAACUCGCCUGCUUAAGGUCCUUGGUCCGAACUACAACAGAAACUCUCGAAAUUUUUAAACGUAUCAAGUUUUUGUUUCCAGUUAAGUAUGCAGAUACAUAUGACUAGACAUAGUGUUAUUAUUGCACUCUCUACCCAAAAGGUAUAAUUUAAACUGGCCUUCACAUCACGAGACAGUAACCUGUUGCAGACAUCUUGCCUGUAAGGUAUCAAAUCUGUGUGUACAAAGCCUAGAAGUUUGAAACUAUACAGAUAAGAUCUUGUGUUCAGCCAUAAUUGUCUUCAGCCCACAAUUAUAUCAUCGGGAUUUUGACACAUUUUGUUUCAGACACUUUUCAUUAAAAUCGUCUGCGAAACAGCCACCGGUAGGCAGUGUCGGCCGUCAAUCGAGAAAGUAAAGUUGUCAAAUCGUCAUUUGUUGAUGAACAGAGAGAAUUUUCAUUCAAAAUAUCAUUGUGAAAUUUCUUCUACGUAUUUAAACUUACUGAAGACAAAUGCUGUUUAUGGUAUUCUUUGUCGUAAGAUUGAAGAUAAGAUUGAACCUAUGUGUUUCUGUUACUAUGCGGCAAGCAAGGACCAAAACUUCACUCGAUGUGCAUUUCCUCUAAUUUGACAUGACCUUUGUGUACAUUUAGACGAUAAUAUUGCCCUCGCCUUUUAUCUCAUAUGCACUGUGAGUCUUAGGUUGCUCAUCCUUUUAUAUAUAUAUAUAUAUAUGUAUAUAUUUACACAUAGUUCAUCGUAUUUGGCACACGGCGAACCUCAUGACUGAGGACCUCACCCGCCUUCGCUCGAUCCAUGGGGCCUCAUGUCAUUAUCUUUAUAGCAAGCAAGAGCUACAUAGGCUAUAUACCAUAUCUGUAUUUUCAAUGUAUAACCCAUCACCGAACAUAACAAAUCCGGAGCAAGCAACGUCAGUUCUGAUGAUUAUUACUAGUUGUUUGCGUAAAAUAAUGAUUAUGUACUUAGUUGAAAUGUAAUUUUGAGUUCGAGUACUUGCAUAAUAAAAUAUCUCCAUCGGUUCUAAAACAUGUUGCUUGAAAAAUUCUCCAAGUGGUAAUUAUUACUAUCGGAUUCCCUUUUAAAAUGACUAUUGGGCUUCAAAACUGUACACAAAGAUGAGCGACAUUGCAAAAAAUAAUUUACUAAUCUAAGUUUUUUCUUUGAUGAUUUGGCGUCCAAAUACUAUAUGGUUCUUAUGGACACUUUGUUUCACAUUAAGUUGUGAUUUUUCUAGAAUGUUGCGAUAGCAUUAACCGUUACCCCUAUUCAGGUGACCACACAUUCAGUCUCUCGUGUUUUCCUGUCAUAUUUGUGUCUAUGUCUAGUUGCUAUGUACAAAUCGACCCAAAUUUUAUUUCAAUACUUGAUAAAUAUCUCUCCUUGAGAGGUCUAUAUCGUACCACUUUUUCUAGAAACAACUAACACCCUUUCUGAGGUAAGAUACGUGAUGGAAUUCAGAUAGCCCCAGCAUGUUGAAAGGUGCGUCGAUCAGCCCCCCAGAAUCUGUGGCCCCGUUUUGCAGUCUCUAUCAGAAUGAACUCGCACUAUUCACUUCUGUACAUAUACCUUCUACCAUUUGUAUAGACUUUCAAGACUCCUUAUUGUCAAUCCUGUCACUUGUCGUCCAUCAACUAACUCCCUCAACUUUAUCUUUUCUCAGAUAAGUCAGGCAAUCGAUUCGUUGUCAAACACGAAUCGCAACUCAUCAUCUGUGGCCUUUGUAAGCCGACAGUCAAUAUUUGCAUAAUGUCUGUCGGUGUUUAAACUUAUACCACUCCAUUAGUUAUACCUCUUAUUCGUUAAAAGUGUAAGAACAUUGUUGGUUGAGCUGCAUCAUACCGUAGUUGAAAUAAUCCUAACACAUGAAUAUCAUCACGGAAUCGCCGCCAUUCUGGUGUAUGCAAGAAGCCGCCCCUCGUCGGUGCGUGCCGGCGUUGUCUUCAGAAAAAAGAAAGAUUUUUCGGUAUUCUAUUAUUUAGAGUGCCAUUUACAGAUGAAUCUUCACAUUAGAUUACCCCAUUGUAGGCAAAGAAAUCAGUGCUAUAAGCUGCUAAGUAAACGAGCCUCAGUGAUUUUCCAGAUUGUCAGCUCCAGGAAAAAAAGCUGAGUUUUUAGCUUUUAUUGUUCGAUAUUAGACCAGUUGCGAGGAAUUGGACACAUGGAAAAAGGUAGCAGAACGAAGAGCAGCUUCUUGGCGGCCAAACCGCAAUCAGUUCACCAGUUAGGGAUAAUUAGGGCUGGAAGACCCACACAAUAAAUUCUCGCUUUGUUCCAGACUACAACCAUUUGUCCGUUUGUUCAAUUGUGCUGAUUUAAGUUGAUUUUUUCGUCAAAUUUCAUUGUUUGGGUUGGACCGUCUUCUUAGAAUGUGCACAUUUCUUUUACCAAACCGACAGUACAUUUAGUAAUCUGUUUUAUUGUCUCCUCUGAGGAUCUUUUGUAUGCAUGGGACGCUUUCGAAACAUUAAAAGAGAAAGAGAAA